GGGAGAAGCAUUAGCUUAUUAUUAAAAUUGAUUAAAUAGGGUGGGCACAAUGGCUCAUGCCUGUAAAUCCAGCACUUUCGGAGACUGAGGUGGGAGGAUUGCUUGAGCCCAGGAGUUCAAGACCAGCCUGGGCAACACAGUGAGAUCUAAUCUCUACAAAAAAUACAAAAGUUAGCCAGGCAUGGUGGCACGCACCUGUGGUCCCAGCUGUUAGGGAGGCUGAGGCAGGAGGAUCCCUUGAGCCUGGGAAGUUGAGGCUGCAGUGAGCCAUGACUUCACCACUGCAGUCCAGCCUGGGUGACAGAGCAAGAUCCUGUCUCAAAAACAAAACAAAACAAAAAAAAAAACAAAACUAUACUUUUCACUGUAAAAGACAAAGACCAGCUCCUUAUUAUUUUCUCUCAGGGCCUCUAGUUGGUAACUUCCACUCGCUGUCUGGUGUCAGGUUGUCCAUCCCAGAAGGUCCUAAAGUCCAGGGAGAGGCCCUAAGGGCACAGAGG
rnacentral:lncRNA from 10 species